rnacentral:tRNA from 1 species
AGUAGAGUGGCUGAGAUAUUAAGUGCUAGAUUGUAAAUCUAUAAAGGGGUGUUAUACCCCUCUACUA